UACCGAGGGUGCGAGCGUUAUCCGGAUUCACUGGGUUUAAAGGGUGCGUAGGUGGGUUUGUAAGUCAGUGGUGAAAUCUCCAGGCUUAACCUGGAAACUGCCAUUGAUACUAUAGAUCUUGAAUUUUCUGGAGGUAAGCGGAAUAUGUCAUGUAGCGGUGAAAUGCUUAGAUAUGACAUAGAACACCAAUUGCGAAGGCAGCUUGCUACAGGGAUAUUGACACUGAGGCACGAAAGCGUGGGGAUCAAACAGG
rnacentral:rRNA from 1 species